UCUGGGCCGUCCAUUGUUAAAUGGACCAAUUUGAAUAUAGUUGUUGAUCGGAUCAAAGAGAGAGGGAGAGAGAGUAAGCUCGAGAGAGAGAGAGCCCGAGAGCUCGAUGCUCUCAGACCCGAAGCACGACCCGACCGGCGCCACUCCUUCUGGCCACGGCACAGCGGCGGACCACCAGCAUCGUCUUCGUAUCGCUGUCGCCACAAACCUCCUAUGCUUGGAUCGUACAUGCACUGAACGGAGAAGGAGACUCGACGACUGAAAGCUCCGAGACUUCUCCGAAGAGCUCUGCAAUUUCCGGCCACCGUUUGGGCCACCUGAGAUUUGCAGGUCUAGGCGAGGUUUUGGUUGUUUGACGUCGUUUCAAACCUGGAAGACUCAGAUCUACAAAAGCCCCCAACUUCCCAGGUUCGAUAUCGCCGGAUACGCGACAUGCGUCACCGUCCCCUUUACUUUGAAGGCCUUAAGGUGGCUUGAUCAAGAACUUGAGAAUUAUUGCAAAAUCUGGAACUUCAUGUCUCUUUUGCUGUUAUAUUGAAGUUUACAUUUGUUAUCUAUUUCGAAUGCAGUUGUUGGAAAGUUUGCAGGGGUUGAUGUUAAACAAGGAAGGGUAUGCUUCUAUAGGAGGUGGUUCACCCUUGCGUAAGACGACAGAUGAGCAGGUGUUUCUUUGAAGACUCAAGAACUCUAUGCCCUUGUUUUUGUUACUCGCUACUUGGACAUUUUCACCGAUUUCAUAUAUUUAUAUAACACCGUCAUGAAGCUAAUAUUCUAGGGGAGUUAUUUUUCAAUUGUUUGGUACAUUAGGCAGCACAGGAUUGUUCGCAGGUCCUAUGAUAGAGACCAAGACACCUUCCGCCAUCAUUUCCUACUGGCACCAUGUCUAGUUUUGGCCCUAAUAUUCAAUGAGAAGUUCACUUUCAAGGAGGUCAUGUGGUCAUUUUCAUUAUUUUUAGAAGCUGUUGCUAUCCUUCCUCAGCUUGUGCUGUUACAGAGAACGAGAAAUAUUGACAACUUGACAGGGCAAUACGUCUUCCUCCUUGGGUUGGCUGCUUUAUAUCUCUGUUUCAUUCUUGUGUUUGUUGCAAGUAUUUUAUUCAGAAUUAUAUAAAAGUUGCUGGAGGAGAGGUAGCAGAUGCAGCUAUGGGGAGGAACAUGAAGGGAUUUAUGUUUUUUUAUGUUGUAUUUUAUUUGAAGUUGUAUAUGAAUUGUAUAGUAUAUUUUAGAAUUAUACAAUACAUUUUGGCCCUAUUUUUUUUUAUAUAUUCACCAAAUUUUGCCACUGAUGUUGGUGGCAUUGAGAAAACACACUGAUACAAUAACAGUGGGAGAGAAAAAGGUUAUAUGCAGCAUUGGGAUUUGGUAUGCCACUGUUGUUUUAACAGUGUGGAUUGCCCCAAUAGCACCUGCAAUAGAGGGCACUGAUAUCUCAUUAGUGGCUGCAUGGUGGCUAAUGACAUUAGCCACUAUUAUCAGUGUGCUUUGUCCCAAUAGGGACUAAUUCAUAUCAGUGUGCUUUGGGGAAAUUUCUAGUAGUG